rnacentral:rRNA from 1 species
GGCUUAACACAUGCAAGUCGAGCGGAUGUAGCAAUACAUCAGCGGCAAACGGGUGAGUAACACGUGGGAACGUACCUUUUGGUUCGGAACAACACAGGGAAACUUGUGCUAAUACCGGAUAAGCCCUUACGGGGAAAGAUUUAUCGCCGAAAGAUCGGCCCGCGUCUGAUUAGCUAGUUGGUGAGGUAAUGGCUCACCAAGGCGACGAUCAGUAGCUGGUCUGAGAGGAUGAUCAGCCACAUUGGGACUGAGACACGGCCCAAACUCCUACGGGAGGCAGCAGUGGGGAAUAUUGGACAAUGGGCGCAAGCCUGAUCCAGCCAUGCCGCGUGAGUGAUGAAGGCCCUAGGGUUGUAAAGCUCUUUUGUGCGGGAAGAUAAUGACGGUACCGCAAGAAUAA